UGAAACAGUGCCGUAUCUAAAAAAUAAAACUGGUACCUUUCAGUGAAGAUUAGCACAGCGCCUGCACAAAGAAGACCUGCAAAUUUGUGAAGUGUUCCAUAUUUCU